rnacentral:rRNA from 1 species
AAUACGUACUAGAGAUAGGUAUUCCCUUGUGGCCUGUGUGCAGGUGGUGCAUGGCUGUCGUCAGCUCGUGUCGUGAGAUGUUGGGUUAAGUCCCGCAACGAGCGCAACCCUUGUCCUAUGUUGCCAGCGGGUAAUGCCGGGGACUCGUAGGAGACUGCCGGGGUCAACUCGGAGGAAGGUGGGGAUGACGUCAAGUCAUCAUGCCCCUUAUGUCCAGGGCUUCACACAUGCUACAAUGGCCAGUACAGAGGGCUGCGAAGCCGCAAGGUGGAGCGAAUCCCUUAAAGCUGGUCUCAGUUCGGAUUGGGGUCUGCAACUCGACCCCAUGAAGUCGGAGUCGCUAGUAAUCGCAGAUCAGCAACGCUGCGGUGAAUACGUUCCCGGGCCUUGUACACACCGCCCGUCACGUCAUGAAAGUCGGUAACACCCGAAGCCAGUGGCCUAACCUUUUGGAGGGAGCUGUCGAAGGUGGGAUCGGCGAUUGGGACGAAGUCGUAAAGGGGGUAGCCGUAAAGUGU